CAAAGUGCUGGGAUUACAGGCAUGAGCCACUGUGCCUGACCAGCCAUACCUUAAUUUAAAUUUUAUAAGGUAUUACUGAUAGAUUUUAGCAAAGGUAAACACAAAGUAAUCAAUAUUAUUUCAUCUAGCAAAGAAGAUGAAGUGAAAGUUCUGUAAGGACAUCAACCAGAACAUAAAAUUAUUGAAUACUAAUGUUCUGAUACAGUUUCAUGGUCUAUAUUGUUAAUAAGAAAUAGAAGCAGUGUUGACAUUGAGUAUAGUUACUGUGUUACUUUAAAUUUAGGUAAAAUUAUUUAACCCCAAAAUAGAGUGAAAUAAUUUUAUACAUAUUCAGUCUAAUCAUAUCUUUGCGAUGGUAUUUUCUGUUGAUCUCGUUUGUGUUUGGUCAGUGGUAGCAAGGUAUCUGAUACUUAUUGUGAUUUCCAAUGGGCACCUCCUGUCAACAUAACUUUGCUCAUGUAAGUGCCUUAAGCUCUUUGCUGGUGGUGAAUAUGAUGACUGACAUUUCUGUCAUGUAGCUUCUGGAAUGUUGUUAGACAGGAGAUCCUUCAGAUGAGUAUAUGGGUAGCAUAUAUGCUCUGGAUCCAUGUUAUUAGACAGAGAUCCUUCACAUGAGUGUGUGGGUAGCAUAUAUGCUCUGGAUCCAUGUUAUUGGACAGGAGAUCCUUCACGUGAGUGUAUGGAUAGUAUAUAUGCUCUGGAUCCAUGUUAUUAGACAGGAGAUCCUUCACAUGAAUAUAUGGGUAGCAUAUAUGCUCUGGAUCCAUGUUAUUACCCUCAUCCCCUUCCCCAUGGAAAACGUUCCUUUCCGUUCCCCUUUCAUCUAAAGAAGCUGCUGCUACAUCUGGAAAGCAGAGACAAGGUUAGGGUUGGGUGAUUUCUGAGCGAGCGUUGAAGUUUCGUUGUUUCUACAACUGUUCUAUUUUGUUAACGUGAGUCAUAACUUAAAAUGAUGUAAAUGCUAAUUAAACCAAUUGGCUUGAUGAAAGAAGCUUGCAUAUUGCAAAAAGAAAGUCUUAUUAGUGGUUGUUUAGAAAUACAAAGGAAAACUGUUGUACCACAGUUUGUGCUCCAAAAUUUAUUUUGUGAGUUUCUUUGAAUAGAAUUCUUUGUGUUCCUUAACCUUUUUGCUUUUCCUAAGAUUUGCCCUCUCCAAAUUUAAAUAAUAAAUGGCAACACUUGUCAACAUUUAGGGUAAACUGAAGAAAUACCAAUAGAGGUCAGUUGUAAUACAUAUGAGUUUUUUCUUUGAAAAAUAUUAUAUAUUAAUUAAGUUGGUUGGCACGUGCAGCUAUUAAAGCUUAACAGAUGAGUUUUAUGACAUGUUAUCAAAAUUCGAGGUAAUUUAGAACAACUUUGUUAAGAACUUGCUUUAAUUAAGGAAGACCCAAACACAAAGCCUUAUGUGCUGGGGAGGAAAGUCGUCUAUCUGCCAAGCUUCUUCACCUAUGCCAAGUACGAUGUGCAAGUGGAUGGUAAGAUAGGGCUGUUCUGAGGCCUGAGGCCCCGGCUGAUGUCCAACGCCCUCUUUCCUGUGACCUGGGUAGUAUGAAGAAGGUUUUCCCUCCAGAUGAGAUAUAGCAGGUUUCCAACAAGGAUGAUAUGAAGACUUCCCUGAAGAAAAUGGUGAAGGAGACCUCCUAUGGGAUGAUGAUGCAGUGCAUGUCCCGCAUGUUGGCCCACCCGCUGUGUGUCAUCUCAAUGCGCUGGAUGGUCCAGUUUGUGGGAUGGGAAGCCAAGUACAGUGGUGUGCUAAGCUCCAUUGGGAAACUUUUCAAAGAGGAAGGGCUGCUGGGAUUUGUUGGAUUAAUCCCUCACCUCCUGGGUGAUGUGGUUUUCUUGUGGGGCUGUAACUUACUGGCCCACUUCAUCAGUGCCUACCUGGUGGAUGACAGCUUCCACCAGGCCCUGGCCGUCCGGAGCCACACUAAGGGCUUGAUGGGGAUUGCAGUGAGCAUGCUGACCUACCCCUUCCUGCUAGUUGACAACUUCCUGGCUUUGAACAACUGCGGCCUGCAGGCUGGGCUCCCUUGUUACUCCCUGGUGUUCAAAUCCUGGAUUCACUGCUGGAAAUACCUCAGUAUGCAGGGCCAGCUCUUCCGAGGCUCCAGCCUGCUUUUCCGCAGGGUGUCAUCAGGAUCAUGCUUCGUCCUGGAGUAACCUGAAUCAUCUAAAAAACAUGGUCUCAACCUGGCCACCAUGGUGAGGGAGGCCUGACCAUCUCGGGAUACCUGCAAGAUGACUCCAACCCAACAACAAUCAGAUGUGGUCCAGCCCAGCCAGGUUUCAGUUUCCAUAUUUGCCAUGUGUCUAUCCAGAUGUGGAGUUGGGUGGAGGUGAGGCUGCACCCAGUGGAUUGGGUCACCUGCCAGACCUGGGAAAGGUGGGGGGAGGUGGGGAGUUGGCAGAAUCCCCAUACCUCAUGGAUUUGCCGAGUCUGUCUUGUGCAAAGGGCCGGAGAAUGGCUUGUGGGGACCCAGGUUGGACAGGGAAAGGCUAAUGGGGUCAGACCCCACCCCAUCUACCCCUCCAGUCAGCCCAGCGCCCAUCCUGCAGCUCAGCUGGGAGCAUCAUUCUCCUCCUUUGUAAAUAGGGUGUGAUCCCCUGGCACACGGCCACCAUCAUGUCUAGGCCUAUGCUGGUAGGCAAAUGCUAGGCUCUGCCUGCGUUUUUCUCAACACUAUUCUUCUGACAAUGAGGGCAGUACCUUCCUCUGAAUGGGAAAUCAUGUGAGUACUUAGAAUGUGCCCUCCUCAUCUAAUGCUCAUCUUUUUAAUGGCAAUGCCUCGCAUAUAGGAUCUGGUUACCUGUGCAGUUGUGAGUACCCAGAGGUUGGGCAGAUCAGCGUCUCUAGUCCUACCCAGUUCAUGGUAAGAUUUGACCCCGUCUCCUGCAAAUAAAUGUAUUGGUGGUGGAGAAAAGAAAAAAAGAAAUAGAAUUCGCUGUUCUUCUUUUUUUUUUUUUUGGAUGGCUUUAUAGAAGGAAAUAAAGAUAUAUAUUACAUAGAGGUCCAAUUUAAGGAAGAUCCAUAGAGUAUCAAGUUUCAGAGUGGCUUCAUUGACUUGAAGUUAAGCUAUUGAAUACAAAGGGUGUAUGGAAUGAGAGUAUUCUCUGCCUUUCCCAGUGAGAGACUGACUAGAUGAAGUGUAUAGAGUCGACACCCUCCCAGGCUAGUGGACUGUGAGAGGUUCUGGAUGAAAGGUUAAAAGAUUGCUUGCUCUUGUCUUUCCACUGAUUCUGCUGGUUAGCCUGACACUAACGGUGGAUGAAGUGUAGUGUAUACACUUUCCUGUGAUAAACCUGGUGUAUCAUCUCCCUUGUUCAGCUUCUUGAAGAUUAUGUGUUGCAUAAUAAUAACUAAGCCUCUAUAUACAACUCCUUCUUAAUUUUACCAAUAAACAAGUUCCAUUAAAAAGGUAUAUGAAGGUCUACAUUUUUUUUUAUUAUUAUUAUACUUUAAGUUCUAGGGUACAUGUGCAUAAC